rnacentral:tRNA from 1 species
GCCGGGGUAGCUCAGACUGGGAGAGCAUCCGGCUGAAGACCGGACUGUCGUGGGUUCAAAUCCCACCCCCGGCA